AACGAACGCUGGCGGCAGGCUUAACACAUGCAAGUCGAGCGCCCCGCAAGGGGAGCGGCAGACGGGUGAGUAACGCGUGGGAAUCUACCCAUCUCUACGGAAUAACGCAUGGAAACGUGUGCUAAUACCGUAUACGUCCUUCGGGAGAAAGAUUUAUCGGAGAUGGAUGAGCCCGCGUUGGAUUAGCUAGUUGGUGGGGUAAAGGCCUACCAAGGCGACGAUCCAUAGCUGGUCUGAGAGGAUGAUCAGCCACACUGGGACUGAGACACGGCCCAGACGCCUACGGGAGGCACCAGUGGGGAAUAUUGGACAAUGGGAGCAAGCCUGAUCCAGCCAUGCCGCGUGCGUGAUGAAGGCCCUAGGGUUGUAAAGCUCUUUCACCGGUGAAGACAAUGACGGUAACCGGAGAAGAAGCCCCGGCUAACUUCGUGCCAGCCGCCGCCGUAACAC
rnacentral:rRNA from 1 species